ensembl:lncRNA
AUUGUUUCUUUAGAAAUGGGAGUGGCAGUUCUUGGGAAAAAAGUAAAAGACAUGCUUCAGGUUUGCAUAUCUGCAGCUGAGCUCUUGGUGUCUGAGUGUCUUCUUUGACAGCAUGAACACUACUUUGGAAGAGAUAUGCAAGGCAGUCCUUGUGUCUGCAGGAGCUGGUGGAGUUGUGAUUCUGACUCCUGCCAUUGUCGCUGGAAUGGGGUUCACUUCAGCUGGAAUAGUAGCAGGCUCCAUCGCUGCCAAACUGAUGUCACUUUUUGCAGUCUUUGGUGGAGGUGGAGUUGUAGCAGGAGGUCUCAUAGCAACCUUGCAGUCCUGGGGUGCAGCAGGUCUGUCAUGGGCUGCCACUUUAUUGUUUGGCAGUGUUGGUGGAGCAGCUGCUUGGUUGAUCUCAACUGUGUGUAAUGUGACUGUGAAAUAUGAAGAGUAACACAUUGAAUAAACACAAACUGACCUACAAAUGAUUCCUCCUGUGACAAAUUAGUCUGACUCAAUAGCCUGAAUUAAGCUUUAUGUUUUAUGUACAAAGGACAGAUAGUCAGAUUAAAGCAUGAUUUGAGAACUGAGUUACAAAAAUGAUUGCUGAUGAUUUUUACCCACCAUUUUCAAAUAAAAUAUAAUUGAAGAGGAUGAAGAUGCUUUAUCUGAUCCAAAGACUGAUAUGAUGCUUUUGUUCUCUUCACAUAUUUAAUGUAAAAAUGAAAACACAUGCAAAUUAAAAGUAUAGUUGUUUUUAUUGUAAACAUAAUGCAUCUAACUGGGCCAUAUUCUUUUUGGCCCAAAGAUUUUAUCAUACAUGAAAUACAUUAGUGACACAGAUUAAAUGCCAGUAAUUCAUUUACAAUAGUUUAAAUACUGGAAAUCAUUUUUGGCAGAUCAUUAAUGUGUGUAUCAUGUUUGAGAUCAUAUGACAAGCAUAAUAUGUCAGCCUUCUGACCGAAUUAUGUAAAGGAUGGGCCCAUGUCGCUUUUUCGGGCUAUAACCGGCCGGGCCCCAUAGCCUAAGCCCCGGCCACCAGAUGCUUGCCCGGGAACCCUCCCUGGGCCUCCGGAGUGGGGUGAACUGUUCCCUUGACUGUAAACUGAUAAGGGUGUUUUGAAUCGCCCUUUGUCUGGUCCCUCACCCAGGACCAAUUUGCCAUGGGAGUCUUUACCAGGGGGACAACAUAGCCCCUAGGAUCCAUGGGGAAAACAAACCCCUCCACCUCAAUAAGGUAGCGAUUCAUAGAGGGUGAGUUAACUUGUUUCUGAGUAAGAACAUUGUGAAGUUAAGCCGUCAACGAUGAUGUGUUAAUGGCUAUCCCAGCUGUUGCUCAGCCAUGUGGUUGUACAUGGGCAAUUGUGAAGAGUGAACUUUCUAUUAUAUUUUGUUUGCUUCUUGAAAAGCUGUAGAGUGUGUGUUUGUGCAUCAACCCUAGCUGUUUACUGUGAAGUGAAUACACUAAAGAAAAGAGGUUAUGUUUUUUUGUAGUUGUGCUACGAUGCCGCACUGUAACUUUAGGAGAGCCAAUUUGUUGUUUACUUUGGUAAGAAAUGAUCAUUAUCAGUAUUUUGGGGAUAUUUUGUGAUUCUUUGUGUUCACUGGAAAGGGAAAGGGAAAAUGCAAAUUUGCAAAUCUCAAUUUGCUUUUUGAGAUCAUCUCUACAUCAUAUAAGCUCACAAUUCUAUCAUUACAGAAAACUUAACAUCUUAACAUUUCCAGCUGAGCUGUGGUAAGAUGUUUUGUUUUCUUUCUUGUGUUUCAGUGACAGCUGUAGCAAUCAGUCGGGGCAGGUAACAAACUUGUUUGCUUAUUUAUUUUUAUCACUGAACCUCACUCACGGGAGAAGUCAUAAAUAUCAUACAUUUAUGUAUUUUGAAGCAUCCUGAUGAUCAGUAAUGUUGUAAUCUUCACUCUAUACCUCCAGUCCUUUUGUCACCCAGCUGAAAAGAAACACUGAAGUCACAAACAUCUGUAAUGCUUUUAUUUAAAAAGAACCUCUGCGCAGAUGGAGAUCAUGCAACCGACGAGCAGUCCCGCAGAUCCUUACAUUUAUACUUGGUGGCCGCACCCCGAUUGGUCAUUUCAUGGUUAUCAAAACCAAACCAAAUUUGGCCCAAGGUGGGAUUGUGAAAUGAGGCGAACAGAGGAUCGGUCUUAUAGAAUUUAAAGGUAAGCACCACCUGUUAAAGCAAAAGUGUGCAGAUUGGAUGAAUUCUAAAUUAUCUGCUCGCUGAUUUAAUGAUCUUCACCGUUAAAUUGGCUCAGAAGUGGUGAAAUAUUAGAGUAAGAGACAUAAAAGGUAACCACAGUCUGUUGAUUGUAAAAAAAAAAAAAGAAAAGAAAGAAAGAAAAACAGAAAGAACUUAAUUAAAUUAUAAAGUAUGGUCAGUAGAUUUGUGGUCAAUGUUCGGGGUAAUGUGUAAUUGGGGUGAAUUUUAAAGUUGAUGUGUUGUGUGUAAUGUUAACUGUGUUGUGAUUAAAACUUUGCCGGAGUUUUGAUUGUUGUUUUUAAAUUUAUUUAAAUUAAUUUAGGACUGAAGUUGGAUUUCUAAGAAGUGCAAGUGUUCAGAGGGUGACGCCUCCACUUCAACACGGACGUGUGUUGGAGACCCACGGCGACGGGACAGUUCGGUUGGUUACCGAGAAGACUGGGGACUUUCGUUAAUAACUAGUGGUCAAGGACCACUUUUUCGUCUGGGACGAUAUAUGCACUUGUUUGGCCGAGAAAGCUGGGCUUGGAUGUUGGACGCUUCUAAAAAUAAAAUAGGUUUUGUAGAAAUCGGGCCAAUCACAGUUUGGAACUGAUACUGGUUAACUGGUUAGAGAAAAAGGCUGGACCUUGGCGUUGGACGCUUGUAAAGUUGUCGAAAUUGUUUAGGGAAAACUGGUACCAGUACAGGAUGAUGAAAAGUGUGUCAUGGAAACAUUGUAUAAUGUAUCUUGGCAUUUGGUGUUUUGUUAUACGGUUUAGGGCCUGGAUGGCUUGAGGAUAGAAGCUCCUCUUGAGUCUCUGUGUCCUUGCCCAGAUGAUGCGGAACCUUCUACCAGAUUGUAGAAGUUGGAACAGUUUGUUGCCAGGAUGGGACGGGUCCUUCAGUAUCUGCGUUGCUCUAGUCCGGCAUCUCCUGGUGUAGGUGUCCUGAAGCGGGGGGAGAGCAAUCCUGCAGCAGCGUUCUGCUGUACGGAUCACUCUCUGGAGAGCUUCUUGGUCCUUCACACAGCUGUUCCCAAACCACGAUGUCAUGUUCUGUGUGAGGAUGCUCUCCACAGCGCCUGUAUAGAAGAUCCUGAGGAUCUUUGGAGAGACCCUGAACUUCCUCAGUUGUCGUAGGUGAUACAGGCGCUGCCUAGCCUUUUUGGUCUGGACCUGAAUGUGGGCAGCCCAUGUCAGGUCUGAGGAGAUGUGGACGCCAAGAUACUUAAAGGACUGCACCCUCUCCACUGGAGCUCCAUUAAUGAUAAUGGGCUUGUAGUCUCUGUGCUGACUCCUUCUGAAGUCCACCACCAGCUCCUUGGUCUUGCCGACGUUCAGCUGGAGGUGGUUGUCCUGGCACCAUGAUGCCAGAUUCUUCACUUCGUCCAUGUAGGCCGCCUCAUCACUGUUGGAGAUGGCACCCAACACCACUGUGUCGUCAGCAAACUUCACAAUGGUGUUGGAGCCGUGGGUGGCCACACAGUCUGAAGUGUAGAGGGAGUAGAGCAGUGGCGAGAGGACACACCCCUGUGGUGCUCCUGUGUUGGUGGUGAUGCUGUCGGAGACACACCUACCCGCCCUCACCACCUGAGUUCUGCCAGUGAGGAAGUCCAACACCCACGCACACAGACGGCUGUUGAGUCCCAGAUCCCUCAGCUUUGUGAACAGUCUGCUGGGCACUAUUGUGUUAAACCAUUGACUGUAGAAAACAUGGACGACGCGACAGCUCCCCAAAAAUGAAGCCAAAACGUCUCUAUCGCCCCCUGGUGUCUGGCUGCAGUAUAGGUCAUAAACCCCGCCUCCUCCAUGUUAGCGGAUGGGACUGGGGUCAGACUAAAAUAAAUUAAUUCUCCUUAGAUAAUUUUUUUCCAAAGAUUCUUUCUUUUGUUAUCAAUAGUUCUCAUCAUGCUGAUUGAUGUCCAAGAGGUCUCCUUUCCCAUAAGUUUGAUUCUAAUUCCUACCGCGGUGAUGUUAAAUUGGGGUGAAACGUCAUCAUAACAGCUUUGACUGUCAGCUGCAGUCACGGAGAAACUUGCGUAUCUCUGUUCGCGAAUAGCAGAUAGAGCGUAGGCUCUGAGAGGACGCCCAGCGUUUACGCUACGAAAACACGACCGAGUGUUUUAACCUGACAGCCUGAGGUGUUCUUCAGAAAACUGGACUACCCGACAGAAGGACCCGAGGCCCCGCUGCACUUUUUCGGUAAGUUAAACAUGUUUGUAAGCUAAUCCGUAACUACCGUCCUUAGCUCAGUCCUGAGACCUAGCUAGUUAAGAUGAGCACUCGGCUGUCAGGGUUCGUUUAGCUGUGCAGGUGAAUGAAUUUACUAAAGAAAUCAAGAGAAACGCCCCGGGCUGCUCAGUCACUAAUUACUGUUACUGUACUUUUAUUACAAGUAUUAUACUGUAAAAGCAACAGGCUGCACCCUGCUGCAGCUCCUGUGCAGAGCUGAAUAUUAAAUAUGUGCAAACAACAGCAUGUUUUCAGUCUCUUGCCACAUCUGUAAAGACAGUAACAUUUUUUUUAAAAGCUUGUAUUUCAGUAACUCCUCAUUAAUCAGGAAAUAUGGAUUAAAGUACUGUAGUGUACUGUAAUACUGAAAAAAAUGUAAGAGAAGAACUUCAGAUCCUGAGUGUGUGAGGACAGAAGAAUCAGCUUCAUUUCAAUUUUGAGGGAUAAAAUUUAUAUCCGAGUUUGAUGGUUCUGUUCUCUUUGUGAUUACAGGAGCUGCCCCCAGAUUCAGACCUCAGCACCACCCAGUGACAGCAGACAGAUCAUCCAACAUGUUCACAUGUUAACUGUAAAAUGAACUGAUGAAAACAGUGCAAAGGUUAAAGUACCACACGUACUAUAGUGAAAGCUGCAGCUUUAUUGAUAAAGUUAAAGACAAAAAAACAAAAGGAUUAAUCUCUCAUGUAACUGUGUCACUAUACAUCAGUAUUAACAGGACCUCAGUUUGGUGUUUCAUAAAGCUGCUGAUCUCAGACCUGCACAGCUUCCGUUUUAAACACUUGAUGUACUCAGCUGCAUGAAGAGCAUAUGAAAUUUUCUCUAACACAAUUAAAUAAAACCUGAUGAAGGUCGAAGGUCAAAGGUCGUCACUUGUAUGUUGAACUACAAACUUGUCAUCUGGAAUUUUUUCAGUUUUUUUACACAUAGUGUGUUAUUUACCAUAAAGUGAUUCAGAGUUAUUCAUACCAGAGUAACCAGAGAGGAUCAUAUAUUUUUAAAUAUAUAACUUUCUACAGGACUGAAUAUAAUAUCUUUAUGUAAAAGUCCGGAGCCUCUGGGGAGUAUCUUGAGUAUUUAUAACAUUACACAAACCAAAGGUCUCCAUCACAGUGUUCAUGAAAUGCUGGGUUUAUCCAUCUCCUGGGGCGGGCCUACGGAGGAGUGCUGAAGAUUUCCCUGUGAGGGAGCUGCUGGUGAAGAUCAUGAGUCCUGCUUGAUCAAUGCGAUGAGCUUCAGUCUUCCUGGUGUUUCUUAAAUGAUGCCUCUUACAGCGGGUCAACAGAACUUAUGGCACAGGACAUCUGUGAUGAAAGAAAGGGAAGAAGUUUCUCCAAACCUCUGGACCCAGGAAACCCAGCUUGGUCCUGAUGGUCUCCCUCACUAGUUUCUCUCCAGGGUGAAUGUAGCUGUUGAUACAAUAUGGACUCUAUUAUUAAAUGAAAAGAACAAAUUAGACUACACUACUGAAACGUUCUGCUGAUGUUUUUAAAGUCUCCAUGUUACCAGGCUGUAGAGGGCUCUGAAGA